AUUGAACGCUGGCGGCAUGCUUUACACAUGCAAGUCGAGCGGCAGCGCGGGGGCAACCCUGGCGGCGAGCGGCGAACGGGUGAGUAAUGCAUCGGAACGUACCCUGGAGUGGGGGAUAACGCCGCGAAAGCGGCGCUAAUACCGCAUAUGCUCUGAGGAGGAAAAUGGGGGACCGCAAGGCCUCACGCUCUGGGAGCGGCCGAUGUCCGAUUAGCUAGUUGGUGGGGUAAAGGCUUACCAAGGCGACGAUCGGUAGCUGGUCUGGGAGGAUGAUCAGCCACACUGGGACUGAGACACGGCCCAGACUCCUACGGGAGGCAGCAGUGGGGAAUUUUGGACAAUGGGGGCAACCCUGAUCCAGCCAUGCCGCGUGAGUGAAGAAGGCCUUCGGGUUGUCGAAGGCGUCUUUUGGUCGGGUAAGGAAAGGACGGCCUUGUCCUAAUAACGCGGAGGUGGUUGACGGUACCGGCAC
rnacentral:rRNA from 1 species